GUGCUCGCUUCGGCAGGACAUAUACUACAAUUGGAAAUAUACAGAGACGAUUAGCAUUGCUCCUGAGUAAGGAUGACGUGCAAAUUCGUGAAGCGUUUCAUUAAAAA
rnacentral:snRNA from 1 species